rnacentral:rRNA from 1 species
GAUGAACGCUGGCGGCGUGCCUAAUACAUGCAAGUCGAGCGAACAGACGAGGGGCUUGCUCCUCUGACGUUAGCGGCGGACGGGUGAGUAACACGUGGAUAACCUACCUAUAAGACUGGGAUAACUUCGGGAAACCGGAGCUAAUACCGGAUAAUAUAUUGAACCGCAUGGUUCAAUAGUGAAAGACGGUUUUGCUGUCACUUAUAGAUGGAUCCGCGCCGCAUUAGCUAGUUGGUAAGGUAACGGCUUACCAAGGCAACGAUGCGUAGCCGACCUGAGAGGGUGAUCGGCCACACUGGAACUGAGACACGGUCCAGACUCCUACGGGAGGCAGCAGUAGGGAAUCUUCCGCAAUGGGCGAAAGCCUGACGGAGCAACGCCACGUGAGUGAUGAAGGUCUUCGGAUCGUAAAACUCUGUUAUUAGGGAAGAACAAAUGUGUAAGUAACUAUGCACGUCUUGACGGUACCUAAUCAGAAAGCCACGGCUAACUACGUG